AUUCCCCUGAGAAAGCCCUUGGUGGUGGUGGUAAGAAAAUAAUAAUAAUAAUAAUAAUAAUAGGUAAGAAAAUAAUAUAUGGUUUUUUUCUUAAGGGGUGAUACGAAUAUUGAAGAGGAUGGCACCCCAACCCUAAUACCAUAGGGUUGAUUUGUCAUAGAAAAUUUCAAAUUGAAAAUUAGAUCAUUAAAAACCUACAUGUAAACUUCAAGGGGUUGGAUGGACUCCAACGACUUUAGGUCGGAAUAUUGGAAAAGCUUACUAUGAGAUAGAUUGCUUGUAAAAUGUGGACAUUUUCACUCAUGAGAGAUUCAAAUUCCAUGUAUGCGCUAGUAUAACGGGCAUCCACCUUCUUUUUGCGUCAAACUAGGACGUUCGCAUUCAUCAUAUUCCUUGGGAAGUUAAUGACUAUGCAGAUUAUCUAAUGGCUUUGGGGGCUAGCCAACAAUGUGAUUUUACUAAUAUUGAUGUUCCCCUGAACAAUGUUGCUCAAUUGUUAGCCAGAGAUGCUUUAGCGUUGUAGUUUCUUCGUCUUUAUUUUCCCAAUCACCAAAAAAGACCUCAAGGGGUUGAUAUAGUGGAGUAUGACAGAGUGUUGUACUUGACGUGUCAUAGGUUUCAACCCCUACUAGUCUGUUGGGGUUAAGAGGUAAAUGUACGUAUUUUGUAAUUGUUUUUUGAGCUCAACAGUUUUUUCUACCUUAAACUAAAGCACCAUCAUCGCUCAUCCUAAAUUUAAAUUUACUGUAACAAAAAAAAACCCUAAUAUGUCAGCAUAACACAUCAUCACUAAAAUGGGUGGAAAGACCCAAACCUCACACAAGUUAUUAAGUUAAGGGUUGAUUUUGUUGAAAAUUUUAUUUAUAUUUAGUGACCAAAUCUAGUUCAAUGAGAAAAAAAACACAUUUAACCCAUUAAACUGAGAAGGGGAAGGAAGAGUGGAAGAGUAUGCAUGAAUGAAUGGCAUGUUCCCAUUUGCUGAAAUUACACUUCCAACAUCGCGACAGCUUCUAUGUCACUGCUCCGACCGCUAAUGUUACGACGAGUGUCACCCUUUCUUAUCAUUCCCUCUCUCACUCCCACUCCUUCUCUUCCAUUCUGUUCCAACUGCAACCUUCAUUCUUCUACUUCUCCUCAAGUUGCAGUCCAAGACCAACAACAACAACAACAACGAGAGCCUCAUCUGCAUAGCACACAACUCGUUGCAGCGGAAUAUGCUGACCUCAAUCUCUCUUACGACCUGGAUCUGGGUCAUGUCAGGAUCAGGCAACAUGUCAAUCCUCUUAGCUCUUCUUUCUCUGUUCCUGCACAAGUACCAGACUGGAACCAGGUCUUUGCUGACCCAUCUUUGCCACUGAUGGUGGAUAUUGGAUGCGGCAGUGGCAGGUUUCUCAUGUGGCUUGCUAAAAGAACUCCUAAAGAGAGAAAUUAUUUGGGAUUGGAAAUACGGCAAAGGCUAGUCAAACGUGCUGAAAUAUGGGUAAAAGAUCUGGCUCUUGAUAACAUACAUUUCUUGUUCGCAAAUGCUACAAUUUCAUUCAAGCAGUUGGUAGAAUCAUAUCCUGGGCCGCUGCUGUUAGUUUCUAUUUUGUGUCCAGACCCACAUUUCAAGAAAAAACAUCAUAAAAGAAGAGUUCUGCAGAAAUCUUUGGUUGGUUCUAUUGUAGAUAAUUUAAUGCCUGGGGGACAGGUGUUCGUACAGUCUGAUGUGCUUGAAGUGGCCCUUGACAUGAGAAAUCAAUUUGAUGAAGUUGAUGCACUGAAGCACAUUGAUGAUUCGAACCCGGCUAUGUUGUGUGACUCCGAAGGAUGGUUGUUAAGCAACCCCAUGGAGAUAAGGACUGAGAGAGAGAUACAUGCAGAGUUUGAAGGUGCAAAAAUCUACCGAAGGUUGUACCAGAGAUGGGUGUGAUUUGUCAAGCUUGAAUAGUUUUCCCAUAAUUAAUCUUCAACUGUGAAGCACCAGAGGAACCUUGUUCAUCUGAGACAAACAUGGAAGGGAACACUCAUGCUAGACACAAAACACCCCCACAUGACACCUCAAAUAGGCUACUUGGGAUUUUGUUGUGUCUGCAGUGUGCUAGUGUCCUGCUUUUUAUGUGUUUAAUCACAAUAGGAAGAUGAGGAAUGAGGAUGGUAACACCUACAAGCUUAAAGUCUCAGUUCAAAACAUCAUAGCCACCCUUGGGCCUCAGUACUUAGAGUUGGGGGAAACUGUUCCGGACUGAGUAUCUUGCUCAAAUCUUCUGCACUUCGUUGCUGGGCCGAACCACCCUAUAAUGAAUCAAGAUCCAAUAUGGUUUAGAGAGAUCAUUGUUAUCCUUUGAUAAUUCGGAAUGUCCUAUUAAUCACUACAUAUUUACAUAAGCAUGAUAACUAAGAUGAAAUCCCCCACCCCCCCUUUUAAAUGUCACAUACAAUUCAAUUUUAUAUACAAGUGUAACACCACCUCAAACCUUAAAUGGGUUACCAU